GAUUGGUUAAGCUUACAUUUCAUUUUCCUAGACUAUGACCAUUCAUUCUGAGUUAGGUUUGUUUUCUAGCUAGAAACUCCAGGCACUCGAACCGUGUCAGCCUGAUGGCCUCCGGUUUAUGAUCUUAAACACCUGGUGGCCUUUACAGUCUGCUGGGAGAGAUGGAGAUUAAUCAGCCAGUCACACAAAUCAAUCCCAAAUCCACCUGAUUAGCAUGUCAUAAGGCUGAGGGGGCAUUAAUCCAAGAUCAUUAAAGCCAGGUGGUCAGAAAUUGCUGCUGAGCUGGGGUCUGAGGAAGGGCAGGAACAAAUACAACCAAGAAGAGAAGAAAGUUAGCUGCUGUUAUGGAGUGGAAUCAGAGUGUGCAGAGGUCCUGGGGCAGCAGUGAGUAAUUUCAAGGAGUGUCACGGCCAAAACAGAGCACUUGGAAAGUUCUGUUCGUGUGGUUUUGUCCAUGUUCGUGUGUCUAGACCAGGCCCCUCAGGGAUCUGUCUCGUGUGUGUUGCAGGGAUUUUAAGGGGAUCAUCUUGACCCUCCUCUGGGAGAGCAAUGAGAACCUGCUGACAGUCGCAGAGGAGUUCUACCGUAAAGAAAAACGCCCAGUCACCAGGCCUGACUGCAUGUAUGACACCUUUGACCAGUGCGCCGAGAACAUUAGCAAAAAGAUCCUGGAGUACCAGAGCCAGGCAAAUAAGUACCACAACUCCUGCCUCAUAGAAUUACGGAUCCAGAUGAGGAGA
rnacentral:sRNA from 1 species